UACGGAGGGUGCGAACGUUAAUCGGAAUCACUGGGCGUAAAGCGCGCGUAGGUGGUUUGUUAAGUGGGAUGUGAAAUCCCCGGGCUUAACCUGGGAAUUGCAUUUCAAACUGGCCGACUAGAGUACGGUAGAGGGAGGUAGAAUUUCCUGUGUAGCGGUGAAAUGCGUAGAUAUAGGAAGGAAUACCAGUGGCGAAGGCGGCCUCCUGGAUCGAUACUGACGCUGAGGCGCGAAAGCGUGGGGAGCAAACAGG
rnacentral:rRNA from 1 species